UGUUCCCGUUUCUUUGUUUUGGUUUCCAGGUGCACUGUACACGACGGACUGUAGUGCAGCAUUUUUAUGUUCCUUGCAGGUGGACUAGCAGACAGCGAUGUAUUCAAGAGCACUGGGACGAUUACAGAGAAAACACUGUCUCAGGUGGAGCACCAGAAUCUCCCUUGUGUUUUCAACUGCGUUGAGGUCUGUUGACUGGGGCGGUUGGCGUGUUGUGAAACCUCAGAAAUUUGAGCAGUCCUCAUCACCAAACCUGACCCGACAACUGCCCCGACGUCUGCCCAUAUUUAUAUUACCUGAUAUUAACCCACGCCUCUGUGGAAGUGCCUGCUUUAAAAAAUAAAUAAAUAUAAUCCUUGUUUA